CAACAAGGUCAUAGCUUCAAAAGAGGGAGUAGUGCAAGGCACAGGACAGUACGCAGAACUCAUGGCAGUGUUCCAGGCUUUGAAAACACCGAAAAACUUGGAUAUUUACAGGCCAUUAUAGUGACGGAUUGCAGUUGCAACAGGAAUUAAUGACAAUUUGCAAAUCUGGAAUGAGAACGGUUACACCAAGUCAAAAGGAAUGAUGAAAUUACAAGACGGAGAUGAGAGAGAGAAAUGGGCCAGGAAAAUACAACACUGGCGAAAGCCCUGUAUAACACGACCUUGUCUGACGGUAUUAUUAGUAACAGGGGUUGUGAUUUUAACAGGAAUUUGGCCGAUAAUUAAUUUCACUACAAAAGUGAUUGUGGUUGAUGAGAUUACUGUUAAAGAAGUUUCCUACUGUAUUAUAGUGACCAAAUUCUUUUCAGGGCCAUGUGAGCUAAAAACAUAGGAAGAAUGUAGCCAAUGAGAGGAAAUAAUUAAAAUAUUAUACAAUGGGUAAAGUUAUAUAAGUGAAAUGUAGAAUAAGGUCAAGCCCAUUUAACAUUACACAAAUAAAGAAAAUUUGGAUUUGGCACUGCCUUCAGCAUAUACUCUAUAUUGGACCUAGAGAGACAUUAGGGUGUUACACGAGCAACACUGAGGACAGUGUUAUGCUAAAUAAAGAAACCCAGAUUAUUCCAACU